AAAGAAAAGAAAAAGUGAGACGAGAGGUAAAAAUAGACAAGUGUCCGACAGUAGAAUUAGGGGUACAAGAUACCCACCUGAGAGAAAAGAAAAAGAAAAUAUAGAGCAUCUCAUUCUCCUCAAAAAGCUUCAAAGUGCAAGAAAGGUAUGUAUCCCCUCAAAAGAGCAAACGUAGAAUUAGACUUUCACCAUUGAUUUCACCAUUAUCACCAUCAUCACCAUACACCAUUCAUUCGCCACAC
rnacentral:lncRNA from 1 species